GUUGAUUUUUGGUUUUAUCGACGUGCCAACAGAAAACUUAUCCCAACACAAACAUCACAAAACACAGCAACUUGCUAUCGUAUCAAUCUUCAAACAAAUUACUAUUCACUUGCAUCCUCUUUCUUCAUCUUCUUCACCAAAGCGUUGUGACAACACAAACACCAAACAUGGUGAUGGCUUCACUGGGCGUGUCCCAAGCCAUCUUUUUCUCCAACACGAACACCACUGCAACCCCUUCUCGUUUCAAUCUCCUCCCAAACAAGCCACCGACCCAUCUUCUUGGUUCACCCUUUUCUCUUCAAACCAACCCAUCAUCAAUCUCAAUCUUUUCAAGAAGAAACCGCACCCACCUUUUCCGCUGCACCCCCAAUUCCAAUAACACAUCUCUUAACUGGGAUUGGAAUCGUUGGUGUCGCCAUUUCUCUGAUAUUGAACAGGCUGAAACCUUCGCCUCUCUUCUCAAGUUUCAACUUGAAGAUGCUGUUGAGAAGGAAGAGUUUCAAGAAGCAGCAAAGUUAAAGAGGGCUAUAGUAGAUGCAACAUCCAAGGACAGUGUUGCUGAAAUUAUGUCACAGUUGAAGAAUGCAAUAGACGAUGAGCGCUACCAUGAUGCUUCGAGAUUAUGCAGAUACACUGGAAGUGGACUGGUGGGUUGGUGGGUAGGGUACUCAAAAAAUUCAGAUGACCCCUUUGGUAGAUUAAUACAUAUAAGUCCUGGUAUGGGCAGGUUCGUUGGCAAGAGUUACAGUCCAAGACAAUUGCUCACAGCAUCUACCGGAACACCAAUAUUUGAAAUUUAUGUGGUAAAAAAUGCUGACGACACAUAUCAUAUGCAGGUAGUGUAUUUGCGACGAGCUAAAGGAAAUUCAAUGAGUAAUCCUCCUUCUAUACCUGCUAAAAGCCCAUCCAAACCCGAGGUUGAGAAUUUGUCUUCAGUUGAGGUGCAGGAACCUGAAGAGAAGGUUGAGGAGAGAAACGAUGAGAAAAACAGCAAUGUUGAGGCGGCAACUGAGGACGGCAUUAAGAGUGUCAUAAAUUUUCUGAAAGAAAAAAUUCCAGGAUUGAAAGUCAAAGUUAUGAACAUUAAUGUUGAAGAGGAAGCAGCACAGGGAAGUGAUUCUAUUAAACAAAUCAUGGAGGAAGAUAGUAAUAAAACAAGCUCCACUGAGAAUUCCGAAGGGGGAGUUAAUAAUCUUGAUGAACCUGAUGAGGAAAUUCUAGAAGGUGACGGCGAUGCCUCAGAAGAUGAAAAGGAUUUAGAUAUGAAGAUGUUUAUUGGUGGGAUUGUACACAACAAUGAAGAUACUGCUGCUAAGGAAGAAUUUAUACGUCUUCCAGCUGAAAUAAAGAAUAUGGAAAGGGAUUCUUUCCUCUUACAUAUACCAAAGAGAAAUCUAGAUAAUGAUAGGAGAGAAGACAAGGUUCGCAAUAUCAAAGUGGCAGCUCUGGCAGCACAAGGAAUCUCAGAGCUUAUGCCUUCUGAUGUUGCUAAGGCAUUCUGGAGUUCUGAUAAAGUCUCUUCUAAGAUUUCCAAAAGCAUGCGUGAAAUUGUCAAACUUGCUAUUAACCAAGCACAGAAAAAAAGAUUAUCUGAAGAUACAUAUUUUAGCCGGAUUACAAGUUCCAAAGGAGAUUUUGAUCCUUUUGAUGGACUCUAUGUUGGUGCAUUUGGCCCUUAUGGCAUUGAAAUAGUCCAAUUGAGGCGAAAAUUCGGACAUUGGAAUGAUGUGGACAAUGAAGGCAACACGUCAAAUAUCGAAUUUUUUGAAUAUGUAGAAGCAGUGAAAUUGACGGGGGAUCUUAAUGUUCCUGCAGGACAGGUGACAUUCCGUGCUAAAAUCGGCAAAGUCAAUCGCAACGCCAACCGUGGAUUGUAUCCCGAUGAAUUAGGAGUGAUAGUUCAGUUGGGAUAGUUCAUGAUAUGAUAUCAAAGCCUCUUUGAUCAAACGGUCUAAAGUUCAAUCCUUGCCACCUCAUUCUUGUUUUGAAAAGAAUGCAAGUUAUAAAGGCCAGGGAAGAAUUGCAGACUUUGGUUUUCGAAAUCCAAAAUGGGUCGAUGGGGAAUUGCUUCAACUAAAUGGCAAGGGCUUGGGACCACACAUGAAAGGUGCAGAUCUUGGUUUCCUUUAUGUUGUGCCAGAGCAAAGUUUUCUUGUGCUAUUCAACCGGUUGAAACUACCCGAGUAAACCACAAACCCCUUCGAUUUCCUUCUUCCCUGACGAUGGUUGGAAUACAAAGGAUUCUGACAAUAGUGGUGAGAGUAUGUUACCUUUUCUUCAUUGAGUGAGCAUAGUUUUACUCAGCACACAGGCACUUGUAAUUUUUACAGCCUCUCAAUGUCUUUAUUAGUUAAUUUUUGGUUAUUUCUUUACCCUAAUCUCUCAGAUAUAUCAUCUUAUGUAUAUAUAAAUUUUGCUGAUUGACAAAAUAGUGUGCUAGGAAGUCUUGAAGGACCUUAAGGGAUCCUUUUAUGUGCAUUAAGGGUUUAUGGCUGUGUUUGCUUUCCUUCUUGUU